rnacentral:rRNA from 1 species
AGCGAACGCUGGCGGCAGGCUUAACACAUGCAAGUCGAACGGGCACUUCGGUGUCAGUGGCAGACGGGUGAGUAACGCGUGGGAACAUACCUCUUGGUUCGGAACAACACAGGGAAACUUGUGCUAAUACCGGAUAAGCCCUUACGGGGAAAGAUUUAUCGCCGAGAGAUUGGCCCGCGUCUGAUUAGCUAGUUGGUGUGGUAAAAGCGCACCAAGGCGACGAUCAGUAGCUGGCUGAGAGGAUGAUCAGCCACAUUGGGACUGAGACACGGCCCAAACUCCUACGGGAGGCAGCAGUGGGGAAUAUUGGACAAUGGGCGCAAGCCUGAUCCAGCCAUGCCGCGUGAGUGAUGAAGGCCCUAGGGUUGUAAAGCUCUUUGUACGGGAAGAUAAUGACGGUACCGUAAGAAUAAGCCCCGGCUAACUUCGUGCC